GAUGAAGAACGUAGUGAAAUGCGAUAAGUAAUGUGAAUUGCAGAAUUCAGUGAAUCAUCGAAUCUUUGAACGCACAUUGCGCCCGCCAGUAUUCUGGCGGGCAUGCCUGUCCGAGCUUCAUUUCAACCCUCGAACCCCUCCGGGGGGUCGGCGUUGGGGAUCGGCCCUUUACGGGGCCGGCCCCGAAAUACAGUGGCGGUCUCGCCGCAGCCUCUCCUGCGCAGUAGUUUGCACACUCGCAUCGGGAGCGCGGCGCGUCCACAGCCGUUAAACACCCCAAACUUCUGAAAUGUUGACCUCGGAUCAGGUAGGAAUACCCGCUGAACUUAAGCAUAUCAAUAAGCGGAGGA
rnacentral:misc_RNA from 1 species